AUUUUGAGAAAUAGAAAGUUUAAUCGAGAGUAAUUUGAGAAAGUAAACAAUGAAAAUUUCAAUUUUCGUCAGAUGAGACGUCAUAUAUUAAUGGAUUGUUUGAAUUGAAAAUGUUUACAACAUUGGAGGGUACAAUUGGAGGCGAAAUUGAAAAACUCUUCAAACAUUAGGAGUAAAAUGCAUUUUCUCUUUUUUUUUAAUGAUCUAUACUUAAUUUUGAAAUUUUUAUGAAAAAAAUAAAUUAAACCUAAACGUAAUUUUUUUUUUUUGACCGCACCAAAAUCCAUAUUUCGUAGCAGCUGACGCGAACCACGAAGGGCUUCCUGUCUAUAAAAGCACAAACAUAGGCAACCCAAAGAUGCAAAGAUACACGGCCGCCUCUUUGUUUCGUACGGCCGUGUUUAUCCUCUUUUGGUAUAUGCAUAUGAGCUCAACCCACGUCUAAAGCCGACGGGAUACGGCUCCAUCACAUUCGUUUAUUCAGAGAAAUCACGGUUGCGAUGGGAAUGCUAUUCUUUCUCCAUGUUAGGUCUCAACCGUGUUUCUCUGUAUAAGGAGAUGUGCUGGAACUCUCUUUUGACAUCAGAGGGGGCUUUUUCUUUCUCCAUUCAUAUAGAAGUACUGGGCCUUGGGAGAAGGAGAUAGAUCUGUGUCUCACUCUCUCUCUCUGAUUGCUUUAAAUCUGCUUAUCUAGAUUUUUUUCCCUUUUUGGGUGUGAAUCCGGUAGUCCUACGUUUCCGUGGGUUUGAAUCUUUGAUCUGACGGCUGCCAUAGUCCGGGUCUGCGUCUUCUAUUUGUCCUUUUUUUACCCAGUUGAAUGUGCUUCUUUUAGAAGAGAUCUGACACUUUGAUCUAAGAUAGAUUUUGUUCUGACCAAACAUGUGGAUCCACAAGUUGGUGUGUUUGUCCUUCCUGUGUUACAAUUACCAUCCACUAUCCAGUAGGUCUGAUUUAAUAUUUUACGCCCUUUGAAGAUUUAACUCUGGAAAACGUGUUUGAAUGUUAUUGUUAUUUUUUUAUUAUGAAUCUCAUUAUUAUUAUUUCUAUUAUUUUGGAGGAUUUAUGCGAUUAAAUUGGCAUUUUCAAAUUCGUCUAUUAGAAUUUUGGGGAGCUUAAUUUAGCAGGACUUUGUUUGCUAUUUGUUUUCUAAGUAUUUUCUUCGGUUGAUUUGUUGACUCCAAUUGAGGAUUCAAUUUGCCCUAUAUAUAUAUAUAUAUAUGGAACAAACUAAACCUGAUUAAAAAAGCAGGGCCCUUUUGCCUUUUUGUGAAGAGGGUUCUCGUAAGUAUCAGGAAAAUCGCUUGCAUUAUUUUUGGGUGAACCUCUGUACUUUUUAGUGACUUGAAGGUUCAGUAAAUGAUGCUACAUUUCAUUUUGUAAUAGUUUCACUUUUUUUUUUUUUCUUUUUUUGAGUAGACCUAACUACAAUUACCACCCUCUUUUUUCUUCCUUUUUUUGCUUUCCUGUAAGGUUAUGUUUGGUACGCGGAAUGACUAUUCUUUGGAAUAGCCCUUAUUAAGAAUGAAAUGAAUAGAGUGAAUUAGCUU
rnacentral:precursor_RNA from 1 species